CACUUCAAAGAUUUUUUUUUGAUGUAUAGAAUUAAAAUAUAGGAAGGUAAAAUCACCAUCGAUUUUCUUUAUUGAUGUAAUAAUUCAAGAGUAUGCAGUUGUAAAUCAUACCCAGUACCUAAUAUAACCAAGUAGGCCUAUAUAUCUUUAGAAUUAUGCACUUCUCAAUGGGACAAAACAACUCCACCUUAAAUGACAUAAUUCCCAUGGUAUAAACAAUAUGCAAUAACAAGAUUUUUUUCAUUUCUAUAAAUUAUGAAAAACUAUAAAACAAACAAAUUGAAGCAUGUUUGUUAUUUUUCUUCAUUUUUAAUAAAACAAAAGAAUGGAAUCUAUGUAGAGUGUAUAGUAAACACAGUAAGGAAGCAGUAUGUCUGUAGGAUUAAAGGACCUUUGUGAAUAUAUAUGCACUUCUAUAUCUUUUAUACAUUUUUAGAAUAUUUCUCUUAUUGUAUGGCAGUUCAUUUCCUAUUGCUUAUUUGAUUACUUGGAAGACAGCUAUAUAUUCCUACUUUUAUUGAAUAAGAAAUCUAAAGGACACCUUGCUAUUUGCAGUUUCUUUUCAACAGAAAUGGCAUUCAAAGUUUCUUCAGAAUUAUGAUGAUCCUCAAAGAAUGUAUUGGUUGUACAUUUUUUAUAGUGAACCAUAGGGGUUUGGCUAAUGUUAGUAAAUGACAUCAUGUUGUAACCUCUCUUUCAACUUAAUAUGGAGAAGUUUGUCACAAAUUGGCCUUGGGAGUUACAGAGAAAGAGAGGGAGAGAGAGAAAACAAAGCUGAAACUGACAAUAGCUGUCAUUACUCAGAUGAAAGCACUAAGCUCCGCCUCCCUGUAUACUUUCUAGACCAAUCAGAGGAGAGUUCAUAUAUCCUAUAGCCCUGUCAAGGCCAGCCUUGAAACAUCACUCAGCUGUGACCAUAGCCACACACAAGAGCCAGACGCUAAUCCUGCUCUGUGAUUGGCCGCUUGCCAUGAGAUAGUCAACAAACACACAUAGCACACAGGGCAAUGGCAUCAGAGGGCACUGAGCCAGCCAGGUCGUCUAAUGCAUGCUCAAGGUUUUUCGGCAGACUGUGUGUGCCUGUGUGUGUUACAGUGUUAUGACUUGUGCAGAAAGCUUUCAAAGGCCACGCCUCCUCCACCUCUCUCUUUCUCUCUCUCUCUUGCAGGCAGCUAGCUUUACGCAUUGAACUAUCUAUAUACUAGCUUGACAUUUUCUGAGUUUAUUAUUAGUGUGAAAGACACAGUGCUUGGAAGAGACCAUACUGGUGUUCUCUGGCAGAAUAUGAGUAAAAGUUGAACCAGGAGUGAAUGGCCAUAACAUUCAUCACGUGGAUAUUAUAGCUUACUGAUCGAAAUUUGCACUGCCAGCCUGCUUAAUGACUGAUCUUGAGAUAACAAAUUCAGGAUUCUUUGAUCUCAACUUUCUGCAGGAGAAUUUUCUUUUAAUCACAAUAUCUAGUGAGCUUUCAAGGAAAUAAACAUUGCAUUGGUUGCUUCAGACUCUGUGUUUGUGGAAUAUCUUCACUCCGUUAGACAAACUGAUCGAUUUGGAUGUUGUAUGCAAGCGUUGCCCCGACCAGUUGCGAUAGAAUGCACCACAUGUCUCAAACUCAGAUUGAGAGCAGCAAUCAGCCACUCAACCUUAGCCACCCCUCCAAGCUCAAAGCCAAGCUGUCGGCCCGCCACCACCACGCCAUGACUGCCGCAGCCCGUUCCCGCUCCCCAUCCAGCUCGCCCCCAUCUUCCAUCUCCUCCACGACCCCAUCAUCCAUCACCAAACCCAAAGCCAGGAUGGUAUCGCACCACCACCACCAUCACCAUCAUCACCACGAUGAUAAGGAACGCUCCUGCAAUUGUCCACAGCUAGACUCGAAGAACACUAUCCUCUACCGACUCCUGACAGAAGGGUACAGCUAUUGGACUCCUGUUUGUUGUAUUGGUGGAAAGUGCCACGAUGGACACAUCCUAGGACAGAGCAAGUUAAAAAUUCUCUUGGAGGAGAGCAAGAGACAAGCAGUGCAAUAGGGGGCUGCUCAUAGCGAGAAUCCAUGGGCUAGCGGCAAUAAGUGAUUUAGGACUAUUUAUUGUUAGAUGUUCGAGGGUUGUCGAGCGCCGGUCUAGUGGAAACCCUUCAGGGCCACACCCAGCUCAAGCUCUCGGAGUACGUCACCGCACUGCACCCCCGGGACCCCCUCCGCUUUGCCCACCUCCUCCUCAGCCUGCCCCCGUUGCGUAACGUGCGCCCUCGCGUGGUCACCCAGCUAUUCUUCCGAGACCUGAUCGGAGAGGCAGUGGAGAUGGAGGAGAUUCUUCAACAGAUGCUCCUUGGCGAGUGAUCAUCAUCAUCUUCGGCAAUACCAAGGAUGGUUCAGGAUCAGAGAACAAAGGAUAAAUGGAUGAAAGACAACUUUAAAAUGAAAUAGAAUCAGUUUUAUGAGGUGGGAAGGAUGCUUUGGAAUCUAAAAAUGUGGGGUUGUUGUAUUUUCGGCAAGGUAUAUACAGUAAAAUUCUGGCAAAAAUAACAAUUUCUUAAGAGUAAAGUAGGUUGAUUUAGAUUGUAAUUCCAAUUGCAACUGGAACUCAUAGAACUAGGAAGUUGCUGAUUUAAAUAGCUAUUCCAUGGCUAGGGCAUACUGAAAUUGAAUGACUGAAAGUUUAACACAACUCUGUGUAUAUACAAAAAUUGGGGGAAACUUCUCUCCGCCAACAGGAUUUGUUGACUUGUUUAUAUGGGCUCAAAGUUUUUUCUCAAUUUUCUAAUUAUGCAAUGCAUUUUCACCUUCUCUUUGGAAAACUCUGCUCAAAAUCUUGACAUAAACAGUGUUCAAGGUGUUUAUAAUGGGGCAGAACGAUGUUGGAUUGGAACUUGAUAAAUACUAGGAGGAAGAGGCGGGUCCACAGGAAAUCAAGAAAUACUGUUGCCAUGGCGAUGAAGAUGAGAUGAAGCAUGGGCGGGCGGGGUCGGGAUUGGUUGUGUGCAUCAGAGAGAGAGGAGACAAAAUGGGUGAGACAAGGGGACGUGUUCGUACCCUUUUAUUCACCCACAAAUUUGUACUAUUGUUCACUUCCAUUUUAAGAGAGACUUAAUUCCCACCAUAGAGCAUAUCACCAAAGAUGACCAUCAAAAUCGAUGUAAAAAGUGCAAAAUAAGGAUUAAAAACAAAAAAAAAAUAUCAUAGAUUUAUCUCACUUUAUAUGUUGACACCUUUAAAUGUUUAUGUGAGAAAGAGUAGUGUGGAGAACUGGUCUUUUUAUUUUCUUGUAAGGAAUGGGUUUGUUUAAGAUGCUUGAGUGUACCUCACUCUGAAUAACACUUUUGUGUUAAUGCUUCACCAGUGUUUACCUACAUGUAGGAUAUCACCAAGCAUUUCAGUGUUAAAUUCAUGGUGUCAUUUGAGAAUAUGAACGGGUGUUAUUAUAACAAAUCCUGUAUGUUUUAUUUGAACACUGUUUUGUGUUAUGUUCAAAUGUCAAGGCGUACUGUUAACACCGGAGAGUGUAGUGCACUCAGAGCACCAAUCGGUUCUUCUUUACACCUUCGUUUUUACGGUGUAUGUGAGGAGAGGUACUGAAAAGAUGUAAUUUAUGGCUUGAUAUCACUAUGUUGCCAAGCGAAGCCAUUAUUUCUAUUUUGACGCCCUCUACCCAUGAAAUGCAAUGUGUGGCCACUGUGUCAUCUAUUGGGUGUUUCCAAUCGGGUGUGGCCCUCAACGAGGACAUGUGGUGUCGAACCAAUUGAGCACACACGAUCAGAUGGGCACUUAAUGGGUCAACAACGGCGUGCCCCUCCAAUUCUUGUGUUCAGUGUACCUAUUACUGAUGACAGAGAUACAUGCUCAUGUAUUCGAUUAACAAACACAUUGUUGGGGGGGGAUGAUUGAUUGUGUAGUGACCCCCCCCCCCCACACACACACACCCCACUUGAAUACAUGGCAUGAUGACUUUGAUCGCCAUGCAUGGACUAUUGCAGUACCUCUCCAACUAAAAUUCAUCAAAAAGAAAUAUCAGUUGGUGUAUGGUUACCUUAGGUGACAGAGCAAGUAACAAUACUUCAGUAUUUCUGUCUUGUUACUGAGCAAAGCACAAAUGUGACAGCUUGUUAAUCAUUUGGUAGUCAAAGAUUUAUUAAUGCGUCAUGAUACAUGUACAAUGCUUUCUGUUAGUAGAACUAUCUUUAUUAUUUGAGGGAACCCAAUUCUUUUUCUUUCGUCGGCCAAGCUGAACCUGUUUUUCAGAUAGAAUAUAGGACAGAAUAUUUGUAGAUCAAAGCAACAAUUCGUUUGAUUUCUUAUCUUUCUUUGUAAUAUGUCUCAAUUAAAAAAAAAUGGUCUGAUACAGGAUUAUUUGCAUAAAACUUCUCCAUAUAAGCCUACUGUGUUUGAGGAAGAAAACGGUAGCAUGAAUACUUCAAUAGUUAUUUGAAAACACUUUGACUAUUUCAGAUACCUUCUUGCUACUGGAUUUGAUGGUAAAAAUGCAAUUUACUAACCCUUAAUCAUUUUUUUUUCAUCCUUUUUUGUUUUGUCUUUGUUGAUUCCAAUGAAGUCUGUGCUGAGUUUCUUGUUAAAAAGUUGUAUCUAUCUUAAAGAUUAUCUAUGUUUGAAAUUCUAAGACAAAGGCCUGUAUUCUAAAGUCCGAUCUGAGCCAAAAAAAUUAUGGUAAGCUUGUAAAAAUGUCAAAUUUUGUUGUGAUCACUGCACUGUGUCAUGCCAUCAUGUCAAAGAAAACUAACUUGGUCUUUAUUCUCAAAGAGUUAUGAAUGACCUGAAUGACUGAUAGAUUGAUUAAACCAAACCUGUGGUAUUAUGUCAUGUCAUGCACUUUGGUGUUAAAUUCAAAAUCUGUGGUGUAUUUUUAACACCUGAGGACAUGGUCAUCACAACAUAGACUGGUGUUUCUAACACUAUGGUAUAAUUUUUUGAGUUAGCUACAUGUAUAGAAAGCCAGAUGUGACAGAAAUUUGUAAUGGGGGUUCUUCAUUGAUAAUUUGGAGCUUGAACUAUUAAUAAGUGAAAAAAACGACAGGAAUGGUGUUCUUCGCCAUGAAAUAUUGAAAAAAAAAGUGAAAAUGGGAAACAUAGUGUACUAAUAGAAUUUUGUAGCAUUUUUGGCAUCCCUUUAAUAUUUAUCACAGAGUUAUCCCAUUACUUGUUGGAAAUGGAUGGUCCCUAUACAAGGCAGUUGGGAUUACAGAAUUGAGAAGCCAUUGGAUUUGAUCAGAGUUUAGAAUAUCGGCCAUUUUCUUUCUCUUUGUCACCAAUUUAUUUAUUUCUGACUUUUGAGAGAAAAUUGAGAUGCGUCGAACUCGACCACUGGGGUAUGAAUAUAUUUUGCAAGUUUCUUGUUCAGUUUUGAAAAAUCAGGGAUACUUAGUUUAUAGUUGCGUAGCUGUAGCACGGAAGGACUAAUGGAAAUAAAUAUAGUCGAGGUUUUGAUGAAGAUAUGAAAUAACUUGCUUUUUUGUUUUGGUUGAGUUUUUAUCAAUCAUGUUGAUUAAGGAGAGAGAUGAAGAGAGACCUUGUACAUUUUUUUUUUCAUUUUCCUCUCGCCUUUGUUCUCUGUGUGUUGUUAUGUAUAUAUGAAGAUACAUUGAUUGUAAUAUACCGAAGAAAACAGACAAUGAGAACAUUUUAAAAAUGUUUUUCUUGUUCUUUGUUUAAUGAAUGUGCUGCACCUUCUAAUUUAUUUCUAAAAAAAACAAGCACCUCCUGUCCUAUUCUUGCGUAUCAAAAAAAGAGAGAAAAAGACCAAAAAAAAACUAAGUGCGAAGUGAAAAAGGAAACGAGGCAUGGUGAUACAACAUUAAUGUCUGCUAAUGAUUUGUUAUGUUCUGUGCUUAAAGAAAUCGAAAGGAAUAGUUUAAAAAGCAGAAUUUGAUUGAGAUUUGAUUGAGAUAUAUAUUUUAACUCGCAACAUAGAAAUAACUUUUAUUUUAACAAUGGAUCUUUUACGAUCUUCGAGUCAACUUAAUAAAAUGAUAAUAAAAACAAGUGAAAUAAAGGUUUUAAAAAACAUUCUAGAGUGAUAAUGACUUCAAAUUUGUAAGUGACAUGUCUAACAUGAAAAAAUCUCAAAUGCACAUUUAUCUUUGAAUGUAAACCAUUUUUGGUUAUUGUAAUUAGUUUAUUUAUUGAGUUAAUUUGACCCAAAUAGAUGUCAAUUUUUUUGAAGAAAAACAGGAAAAAUAUUGAUCUUGCUGUCUUAGCUUAUUAAAUGAAGAGAGAGAUAGCUUUUAAAGCAUUCCUUUAUAAAAAAAGAAAAGAAAAAGCUCUAUUUUGUACUGAAAUAUUGGGGUCGGAACUGAAAUAAGUUGAAAUGUAACAGUAGUGUAGUAGAGUUGUAGUUAGAAAGAGAGUUGUGCAUUGACAAAUGGAUAUUUUGUACAGGUAAUCGAAUCAACACAUUUUUUCUACCUUUUUUUUAUUUGAAGUAAGGCUAUUUGAACCCAGUCAAAGAUAAUUUGAUGACGUAAUGAAAUAAAAUGCAUCUUGUGAAAUUUCUUUGGAUUUCCAAGAUCUUCAAAAUUAACCCAAGAAAUUCUGAUUUAUUGUUAUGUACGAUAUUUUCAUGAUUGACACAAUUAUCAAUGCAUGUAUUGAAGACAUGUGUUGGUAAUAACAGAGCAUUGCAUCACCUUGCACCAGCUUUAGCUCUUUAGUCUCGCUCUAUUUUUCUCUUGUUUAUUUCAGAAUACUGAGUUGAUUCCAAGUUCUUAAAAUGGAAAUGAGUCUUUUAUUUUUACAUUUUCUAGAUAAGUAGGAAUUCAAACUUGGUAGAGUUUAAAACAAGAUAUAUCAACAAUGAAAAAAAAAUGCCAAGGAUUUGUCUUGGUUCAUAAUGAACGGAUUCUUCAGGCAGUUUCAAACUUGGAAAAUGUUAAGAUGCAUUCAAAUGUGGGACUCCUUGUAUUUUGCAAGCAUAAUCCUUGCACCUCCUUCCCAAAUCUUGCCAAAUGAUGGCGCCAUUCAACAUUGCCACUUGCUUAUAAGUACCACAAUACAGAAAAGAAGUGGCUACGGUACUAAAGAUUUGAACACCAUUUUUGCAUCCACUAUUACACGAUAUUAAAACCUGAAUAUCUUCUUUCGGAGGAAUACCGAUGCACUUUUGGGUUUCUAAAGUACCUCCUUGCUCUUAGGCAUCUGUUGGGUGUUUCAUGAAAGUUGUCAGCACUGACUGAAGUGUUAGCGCUGACUGUUGAUUAAAUCCUUACUUUUGAUUGGCUGAGUGUUACUAUGGUAACUGUCCGACAAGAUAACUUGUUAGUGCUGAUAACUUUCAUGAAACAGUCCCCAGUAUUACAACUAUAAAGGUACUUAGUAGUCUGAAGUCAGAGUACUCAUAUAAGGAGAGACACAACGUAGGGGGGGAUGAUUUCAUUGGUACAAAAAGGUUGUUAGAUUGUUUGCUAAAUGGGAUAAUGUAGGCAUAUGCUUUGAUGAAAAGUACUACAUUAUUAAGAGUGAAAUUAGAAUAGCUUCAAUUAUGAUCUGUUACUGACCAGUUUAAAUGUGUGAAUCAUCCUUACGAUCCUCCUACACCCACUCGGCUUGAACUCGGUAGUGCAAUGUGUUCUUUGAGCAUUGAGGAGUAUCCAUACGCUCAUUGCAUUGAAACUUGGGAGAUCCUUGUACAAAACCUAUAUGAUUGACAGAAUUUCUUUGUCAACAACAUGUGAAGGAUUAUAUUAUCUAAAUACAGGUUUAAGUGACUGUAUGUCAAAAUCCAUUGUUUUCUAGUCCCGUGCUGAGCACUUUAAAAGCGUUCAUUUUAAAGAUGUACGUAUGUAAGGCAUCAGAUGAAACAUUGAAUAAAUGUCACUGUGUACUGGAAGCGGUUGUUUUCGUUUAUGCUUAGUAUUAUUAAUAGUCCGGCACAAUGGCUACAUCAAGAAACAAUUAUCUGUGUGUUUCGUUGUUGACAUGUUUCUUAUAUUAGUUUGUUUCUGUUUUUGUGUAUGAUUGAAAGAACAUUAAAAUCGUGAAUAUAAUG